rnacentral:rRNA from 1 species
GCUUACUUGUCGCGCAAGGCCGGAUAAAACUGUACGAACACGUUGUCUACCGUUGAUUGUGGCAGUUCCAGCAGGCGUCCUUCGGAAACGCCUUGCUUCCAACUGGCCGGUUGCGCCGAUGAAAUUGAAGUAAACCCAUUUUCCAAUUUCGCUUCGUCCUUCAAGGCGACUUCGAUCCCGCGGAACUGUCGAACUUGCCAACCUUCGCCGGCGGACGCUUUUCGCCGGGAGUAACACCAUCACGAGCAUGGUUUUGUCGGGGAAGCGCCCGGUUUUCUUUAUUUGUACACACCGCCCAAGGGCGAAUUCUGCAGAUAUCCAUCACCUGGCCGCUCGAGCAUGCAUCUAGAGGGCCCAAUUCGCCCUAUAGUAGUAUUACAAUUCA